GACGAACGCUGGCGGCGUGCCUAAUACAUGCAAGUCGAACGAGAGCGUCCGGUGCUUGCACUGGUCAAUCUAGUGGCGAACGGGUGAGUAACACGUGGGUAACCUGCCCAUCAGAGGGGGAUAACAUCCGGAAACGGAUGCUAAAACCGCAUAGGUCUUCGAGCCGCAUGGCUUGAAGAGGAAAAGAGGCGCAAGCUUCUGCUGAUGGAUGGACCCGCGGUGCAUUAGCUAGUUGGUGAGGUAACGGCUCACCAAGGCCGUGAUGCAUAGCCGACCUGAGAGGGUGAUCGGCCACAUUGGGACUGAGACACGGCCCAAACUCCUACGGGAGGCAGCAGUAGGGAAUCUUCCGCAAUGGACGCAAGUCUGACGGAGCAACGCCGCGUGAGUGAAGAAGGUUUUCGGAUCGUAAAACUCUGUUGUUAGGGAAGAACAAGUGCUAGAGUAACUGUUAGCGCCUUGACGGUAUCUAACCAGAAAGCCACGGCUAACUACGUG
rnacentral:rRNA from 1 species